rnacentral:miRNA from 3 species
UUCAGUCAUUGUUUCUAGUAGU